rnacentral:rRNA from 1 species
AUUGAACGCUGGCGGCAGGCCUAACACAUGCAAGUCGAGCGGAGCGGCGGACGGGUGAGUAAUGCCUAGGAAUCUGCCUGGUAGUGGGGGAUAACGUCCGGAAACGGGCGCUAAUACCGCAUACUAUCAGAUGAGCCUAGGUCGGCUUAGCGAGUUGGUGGGGUAAAGGCCUACCAAGGCGACGAUCCGUAACUGGUCUGAGAGGAUGAUCAGUCACCCUGGAAUGUAUACCAGGUCCCGCCUCCUCAGGUAGGCAGCAGUGGUGAAUAUUGCAGAAUGUGCGCAAGCCUGAUGCAGCCAUGCCGCGUGUAUGAAGAAGGCCUUCGGGUUGUAAAGUACUUUCAGCGGGGAGGCGUUACCCGCAGAAGAAGCACCGGCUAACUCCGUUCCAGCCGCCGCGGUAAGUC